CAGGGUAUAAAUAUAAACCCUAGGACCUUGUAAUAAGAUAUCAAGAAAUCAAUCAAACACACGUUUUACUCAUAUUCCAGCAUCUACUUUUUCGACGACUUCGUCAUAUUUUUUUUCUUUUUAUUACGAGUUCUUAGGAAUUCGUCGACUUAAGCUCGGCGUAUUCUCAAGUUCCGCGUGAGUACCUCUUAGCCGUGACAUCCGGGCGCAUCGCUGUUGUCAGGACUAAAGUAUUCGAGUUAUCACCUUUGCCGAUAGCAAGGUCAAAUCGGCUGGCACGCCUUAACGUUUGAAUCGGGUAUUAGCCCUUUGUGUUUGCAGAUCAGUUUUGCAUCAACAGUUACAUUGUUGGAAUUAAAUUUAUCUUGUUCUUGGCAGAUGAAGUCCAACUGUACUACUUGACAUGGUUUGG
rnacentral:lncRNA from 1 species